CCUCUUUGAUUUUAUUUUUAUUUUUAAUUGGCUUAGUUUAUAUUUGGUUAUUUUUCUUAAUUUUUUUAUUAAUUCCAAAAUCUAAUAUCAAAUACAAAAUACUACCUUUAUUUCAGUUAAUAAAAAUUACUUCUUUUUUCAUGUAAAUCCAUAAUACAUAUUUAUCUUUUCACUAAAAUUCAGUAAAUAUGAGAAAUAAUAGAUUUUUUUUUUCUAAU
rnacentral:lncRNA from 1 species